rnacentral:ncRNA from 1 species
AUAUUUUCAGGUGAUGGAGUUCACCUCGAACCGCAUGUUCUGCUAAUAACUCCUACCAGUUU